UCGAUUCCAAGCCGCUGAGAAAGGCGGCCUGGUAUACACUGUUUACGCAUGCGCCAGAAUUACCAAGAAUCUUGGUAAUCGUAAAUUGCAGUAUAUUUAUCAGUAUUCUUAUUCCGCAUUAGUUUGUAAAACAUUGAUAUCCGUUUCAUUUAUAAUGAUGUCAUUUAAAAAAAGAAAUCUAGUCCAAGUUGUGUAAUGGCUGCUACCUUCUCUUCUGCUCUCGUGUACGCGUUAUCCUGUGUUGGAAUACCAGGUCUAGUCUUGAAAGACAAGCAGCUGGAGGCGUUGAAGUGUCUGUACGCUGGUGUUUAUGUGGGUACCGUACCGACCGGCUAUGGCAAGUCCCAGAGCAAGUCCAUCUGCUUUCCAGACACUCCCUUUCUUGAUUGAUGUGAAGCUUGACAGGACCAGUGCACCUCUCUCUGAAAAAAGUGUUGUGAUGGUGAUUUCUCCUCUUGUUUCUCUGAGUGAAGCCAUCUUCAAAGUGUUGGUGUGUCUGUUCGACGUUCAGUGCCAUUCUCUCUGGAAGGAAGUAUUGUUGUGACAUUUGCCGAAAAUUGGUCACAGAGUAAGUAGUAUCUGAUCCGAGAACUGUGUGGCCUGAAUGUGUUUACAAUCCGAGGGACUUGUGUGUAUCCGAUCCAAGAGACUUGUUGCUUGAGUGUGUAUUAAUGGAUAGUGCUUUCAAUGGUUUAACUAAUUUCUUAUGAGAUUAACUUGUCGCCUGAGUGUGUAUCCGAUCCGAGCCUCAAGUUAAUGAAUAAAUCUACAGAGCUGAUGUUUUACUUAGCAGUCUCUGCGUAUCACAAGAAACCACGCCCUAAUAUCUGCACAUUGUGUGAUCUGGUAGCUUUGCUAAACAUCGACAUGGUUGCUAAACAUCGACCUGGUUGCUAAACAUCGACCUGGCUGCUAAACAUCGACCUCCUUGGUAAACAUCGACCUCUUUGGUAAACAUCGACUGUUUAUUAGUUUUGAGACAAACGGCACCCCAUAAUAAAAGCUACAUAAGAUCAAGAAUGUACUCAUGACAUGGUUGGUAGAAGACUCACUAGCCUGUCAAUACAAUUAGUGGUCAUGGUUGGUAGACUGUCAAUACAAUUAGUGGUCAUGGUUGAUUGACUGCA